GGCUUGACCGGACGGUCCGCUUCUGCGAGUACUGUUCCGCGUUGGGUCUUACCUUCUGGUGAACCGGUAUGUUCUUAAUUGAAUGUGCUGUGGAGCCAGGACCAUUACCUUGAAAAAAUUAGAGUGUUUAAAGCGGGCUAUUGCUUGAAUAGAUUAGCAUGGAAUAAUAAAAUAGGACGUUGGUUCUAUUUUGUUGGUUUCUAGGACCACCGUA
rnacentral:rRNA from 1 species